rnacentral:rRNA from 1 species
CCUACGGGCGGCUGCAGUGGGGAAUAUUGCACAAUGGGCGCAAGCCUGAUGCAGCAACGCCGCGUGAAGGAAGACGGUUUUCGGAUUGUAAACUUCUUUCAAUAGGGAAGAAAGAAAUGACGGUACCUAAAUAAUAAGCCCCGGCUAACUACGUGCCAGCAGCCGCGGUAAUACGUAGGGGGCAAGCGUUAUCCGGAAUUACUUGGUGUAAAGGGCGAGUAGGCGGCAGGGCAAGCGAUAUGUGAAAGCCUAAAGCUUAACUAAAGGAUUGAAUAAAGAACUAUCUUUCUAGAGUGCAGGAGAGGCAAGCGGAAUUCCUAGUGUAGCGGUGAAAUGCGUAGAUAUACGGAAGAACACCAGUGGCGAAGGCGGAUUUCUGGACUGAAACUGACGCUGAGGCUCGAAAGCGUGGGGAGCGAACAGGAUUAGAUACCCCAGUAGUC